rnacentral:rRNA from 1 species
UACGAAGGGGGCUAGCGUUGUUCGGAAUCACUGGGCGUAAAGGGCGCGUAGGCGGCUUGAUAAGUCGGGGGUGAAAGCCUGUGGCUCAACCACAGAAUUGCCUUCGAUACUGUCUGGCUCGAGACCGGAAGAGGUAAGUGGAACUGCGAGUGUAGAGGUGAAAUUCGUAGAUAUUCGCAAGAACACCAGUGGCGAAGGCGGCUUACUGGUCCGGUACUGACGCUGAGGUGCGAAAGCGAUGG